AGUGAACGCUGGCGGUAGGCCUAACACAUGCAAGUCGAACGGCAGCACAGUAAGAGCUUGCUCUUACGGGUGGCGAGUGGCGGACGGGUGAGGAAUACAUCGGAAUCUACUUUUUCGUGGGGGAUAACGUAGGGAAACUUACGCUAAUACCGCAUACGACCUACGGGUGAAAGCAUGGGAUCUUCGGACCUUGCGCGAUUGAAUGAGCCGAUGUCGGAUUAGCUAGUUGGCGGGGUAAAGGCCCACCAAGGCGACGAUGCGUAGCUGGUCUGAGAGGAUGAUCAGCCACACUGGAACUGAGACACGGUCCAGACUCCUACGGGAGGCAGCAGUGGGGAAUAUUGGACAAUGGGCGCAAGCCUGAUCCAGCCAUACCGCGUGGGUGAAGAAGGCCUUCGGGUUGUAAAGCUCUUUUGUUGGGAAAGAAAAGCAGCAGGUUAAUACCCCGCUGUUCUGACGGUACCCAAAGAGUAAGCACCGGCUAACUUCGUG
rnacentral:rRNA from 1 species